rnacentral:rRNA from 1 species
AUUGAACGCUGGCGGCAGGCCUAACACAUGCAAGUCGAGCGCGCGGCGGGCGGGGGUGUAAUGUCUGGGAAACUGCCCGCUGUAGGGGGAUAACUACUGGAAACGGUAUCUAAUAUCCCACACCACCCCAUGUGCCCACAUGGGAUUAGCUAGUAGGGGGGGUAACGGCUCACCUAGGCGACGAUCCCUAGCUGGUCUGAGAGGAGGACCAGCAAAACUGGAACUGAGACACGGUCCAGACUCCUACGGGAGGCAGCAGUGGGGAAUAUUGCACAAUGGGCGCAAGCCUGAUGCAGCCAUGCCGCGUGUAUGAAGAAGGCCUUCGGGUUGUAAAGCACUUUCAGCGGGGAGGCGUUACCCGCAGAAGAAGCACCGGCUAACUCCGUGCCAGCAGCCGCGGUAAUAC